ACAAAUCCUAUGCGAUGGUUUAUUGCUU
rnacentral:sRNA from 1 species